rnacentral:rRNA from 1 species
CUGCAGCUCAAGUGGUGACCACUAUUAUUGGGCCUAAAACGUUCGUAGCCGGUUUGGUAAAUGCCUGGGUAAAUCGUGUAGCUUAACUAUACGAAUUCCGGGUAGACUGCCAAACUUGAGACCGGGAGAAGCUAGAGGUACUCCUGGGGUAGAGGUGAAAUUCUGUAAUCCUGGGGGGACCACCAGUGGCGAAGGCGUCUAGCUAGAACGGGUCUGACGGUGAGGAACGAAGCCCUGGGGCGCAGACCGGAUUAGAUACCCGAGUAGUCC